rnacentral:lncRNA from 1 species
AGUGUUCACUGCUGACAGCUGAGUGUUCAGAAUGUCCCAGAGAUGAGGAAGGAGGCCUAGUUUUUUCCAAGAUGUGAAUUAUUAGUGCGCGUGACACUCGGAACUUUGGUUGGGCUCAAGGCCAAGCACGAAACUCAGAAAGGAAGGCUCAGUCCAGCCUGGGAUUCGCCCUUCCUCUGUGGCUUGGGAGGAAGAUGGAUGUGGCCCGCACGGGUUUGGAAAGGGACAAUGCUGGUCUGAGGAGCAGAAGCAGAGACCCCACCUCAUACACGGACCCCUUUCAACUUCCCCAGGUAUUUCUGGGAGAGCCCAGAGAUGUCACACAUGAACUCUCACGGCCUAUGAAUGAAGAACCUUCUGCUGGAGUGAGGGGCUGCGGAGGGAGGGAGGACGAAAAAUGA